CCCUUAGAUGUCCUGGGCCGCACGCGCGUUACACUGAUGCAUUCAACGAGCCUAUAACCUUGGCCGAGAGGCCUGGGCAAUCUUGUUAACGUGCAUCGUGAUAGGGAUAGAUUAUUGAAAUUAUUAAUCUUGAACGAGGAAUUCCUAGUAAACGCAGAUCAUCAAUCUGCAUUGAUUACGCCCCUGCCCUUUGUACACACCGCCCGUCGCACCUACCGAUUGGAUGGUCCGGUGAAGCCUCGGGAUUGUGGUUCUUGCCGCUUUAUUGUGGCGUGACCGCGAGAACUUGUCUAAACCUUAUCAUCUAGAGGAAGGUGAAGUCGUAACA
rnacentral:rRNA from 1 species